UCCAGACUCCUACGGGAGGCAGCAGUGAGGAAUAUUGGUCAAUGGGCGCGAGCCUGAACCAGCCAAGUCGCGUGAGGGAGGACGGCCCUACGGGUUGUAAACCUCUUUUGCCGGGGAGCAACGGGCGUCACGUGUGGCGCCACUGAGAGUACCCGGAGAAAAAGCAUCGGCUAACUCCGUGCCAGCAGCCGCGGUAAUACGGAGGAUGCGAGCGUUAUCCGGAUUUAUUGGGUUUAAAGGGUGCGUAGGCGAAUCGUUAGGUCAGGGGUAAAAUGGGGGGCCUCACCCCCUGCCCGCCAUUGAAACUGGCGUUCUUGAGUGGGCGAGAAGUAUGCGGAAUGCGUGGUGUAGCGGUGAAAUGCAUAGAUAUCACGCAGAACUCCGAUUGCGAAGGCAGCAUACCGGCGCCCUACUGACGCUGAGGCACGAAAGCGUGGGUAUCGAACAGGAUUAGAUACCCGGGUAU
rnacentral:rRNA from 1 species